AGUUGAGAACACCUUUAUUUAACCAGGUAGGCCAGUUGAGAACACCUUUAUUUAACCAGGUAGGCCAGUUGAGAACAAGCUUUCAUUCACAAUUGCGACCUGGCCAAGAUAAAGCAAAGCAGUUCGACACAUACAACGACACAGAGUUACACAUGGAGUAAAACAAACAUACAGUCAAUUAUACAGUAUAAACAAGUCUAUAUACGAUGUGAGCAAAUGAGGUGAGAUAAGGGAGGUAAAGGCAAAAAAAGGCCAUGGUGGUGAAGUAAAUACAAUAUAGCAAGUAAAACACUGGAAUGGUAGAUUUGCAGUGGAAUAAAUAAAUAAUGGGGUGCAAAGGAGCAAAAUAAAUAAAUACAGUAGGGGGAGAGGUAGUUGUUUGGGCUAAAUUAUAGAUGGGCUAUGUACAGGUGCAGUAAUCUGUGAGCUGCUCUGACAGUUGGUGCUUAUUAAAGCUAGUGAGGGAGAUAAGUGUGUCCAGUUCCAGAGAUUUUUGUAGUUCGUUCCAGUCAUUUGCAGCAGAGAACUGGAAGGAGAGGCGGCCAAAGAAAGAAUUGGUUUUGGGGGUGACCAGUGAGAUAUACCUGCUGGAGCGUGUGCUACAGGUGGGUGUUGCUAUGGUGACCAGAGAGCUCAGUACAACAACACCCUCACUCAUGGACCACAAAAC
ensembl:lncRNA